rnacentral:rRNA from 1 species
UACAGGGGGUGCAAACGUUGCUCGGAAUCAUUGGGCGUAAAGCGCACGUAGGCGGUUCGUUAUGUCGGAUGUGAAAGCCCUUGGCUUAACCGAGGAAGUGCAUCCGAAACUGGCGAGCUAGAGUACGAAAGAGGAUCGCGGAAUUCCCGGUGUAGAGGUGAUAUGCGUAGAUAUCGGGAGGAACACCUGUGGCGAAGGCGGCUUUCUGGGCCCUACCUGACGCUGAGACGCGAAAGCGUGGGGAGCGAACCGG